rnacentral:rRNA from 1 species
UGCCCUAGUAACGGCGAGUGAAGCGGCAACAGCUCAAAUUUGAAAUCUGGCUCUCGGGCCCGAGUUGUAAUUUGUAGAGGAUGCUUUUGGCAAGGUGCCUUCCGAGUUCCCUGGAACGGGACGCCAUAGAGGGUGAGAGCCCCGUCUGGUUGGACACCGAGCCUCUGUAAAGCUCCUUCGACGAGUCGAGUAGUUUGGGAAUGCUGCUCUAAAUGGGAGGUAUAUGUCUUCUAAAGCUAAAUACUGGCCAGAGACCGAUAGCGCACAAGUAGAGUGAUCGAAAGAUGAAAAGCACUUUGAAAAGAGAGUUAAAAAGCACGUGAAAUUGUUGAAAGGGAAGCGCUUAUGACCAGACUUGGGCUUGGUUGAUCAUCCGGCGUUCUCGCCGGUGCACUCUUCCAGUUCAGGCCAGCAUCAGUUUGCCCCGGGGGAUAAAAGCUUCGGGAAUGUGGCUCCUCCGGGAGUGUUAUAGCCCGUUGCAUAAUACCCUGGGGCAGACUGAGGACCGCGCUUCGUGCAAGGAUGCUGGCGUAAUGGUCAUCAGCGACCCGUCUUGAAACACGGACCAAGGAGUCGUCUUCGUAUGCGAGUGUUCGGGUGUCAAACCCCUACGCGUAAUGAAAGUGAACGCAGGUGAGAGCUUCGGCGCAUCAUCGACCGAUCCUGAUGUUCUCGGAUGGAUUUGAGUAAGAGCAUACGGGGCCGGACCCGAAAGAAGGUGAACUAUGCCUGUGUAGGGUGAAGCCAGAGGAAACUCUGGUGGAGGCUCGCAGCGGUUCUGACGUGCAAAUCGAUCGUCAAACAUGGGCAUG